AUCUCUUGCUGGAGGUCCCUGCCUACCAGAGGCCUUUAAAAGAAUGAAGCUGUUGUAUUGCCCGCUAGCCUGGGUGACUGCUCCUCGGAGGGGAAACCUUUCAGACCUCUGGGACAAACAGAACUGUACCUGUAACUCAGACAGCAGAUGUGUGCAAGCUGGCUGGAGUGGCUCUGUUGCCAGAGUCUGCAGGGCUCUUGAGAUGCUAUGCUUGUUACUGAGGUGCCACAGGCCUAUGCUGGUGUGCUGAGGCAGUCUGCCACUAACAUGUCCCUCUGCGUUAACAUGCUGUGAGCUUCUGAGGAAGAGAGCUCUGAUUUCCCUCUCUUGUUCAUUUGAGGUAGCUGACAAGAUGGCUUCUAUUUAUCCCAGCUGUAGGAGGUGAUGAUCUCUUCAGCUGCAACAGCUCGGUUUGAUUGAGGUGUAUGACAGAAUGGUAAUCAAGAAGCAGUUUUAGUGGAGAGACAGACUCCUGAUUGAUUAAAAGCCUAUUGUAAAUACAGGUGUAGUAUUUACUCUCAAAUACAGUGAGACUAUAAUGUUGGCAUACCGUUGGUUUGCAGUAGGGGUGCAAAGAUGACCAAUUUUACUGCUGUGAAUGAAAAAGAAGGGUAUAGUUUUUACUUGGGUCUGAUUAAACACAUUAUAGUUAUGAAUGGUAUGUGGAUCCUCAUUGUAUGCUUAUUUGUCACAUGCAUGCAAAGUCAUCAAAAGUCAUGAAAGUGAUGUCAAACCCAACUUUAUAAACAGAAGUUGAUUUCAGUCAUCUCACAGGAGUGUAGCAAUUGUUAUUCUAGCAAGCGUAGAUUCCUCAUUUUUUCUCUUCGGGAUUGGUUUGUUCAUUCUGUCAUGAAGGGGUGAGUUUAAAAAUCUGCAUCCUCUCUUCAUAAUCCUGUCAGCUCCUUUGAGACUUCAAAUCUGUGAAACUUAGAGGAGGCAGCUGUUAGGUAAAUUUUGAAAGAGAAGCUAUAAUCUUCAUGUGCUUCAGAUUGUGGAGAGGUCUUAGGGUCUCUUGUAGCAGUAAAAAAAAUCCUGUCACAUUCAACUCUGUUGCACUUUAUAUAAGUGAGCUAUGAUUGUAUUGCAGCGGGCACUUGGCAAGCAGGCUUUCCUUGCUCAAAGAAUUCAGUUUAAGUGGACAUGCUACUUGUUUAGGCUUGGUGAAAAACACAGCUGACCUUUUUAAAGAUAUUCUAAUUUUUAUAUCAGGACUGCUUUCUUUAUGCAAUAUCCCUCUAACGUAUUGAUGCAUUCCUUCAUGUGAAGAAAUACUGUCCCUCAAUGCUACUUUCCCUACCUUUAUGUAAUAACUUUGGAAUUAGUUUUUUUUAUUUCUUCAGUUUACUGAGCCUAACUUGUUACAAGAAGGAGAAUGAGUCUCGGUGUGUGCAACGCUGCAAUAAGAUGGUUUUCCCAGAACACUUGAUUCUUGGCAGGAGGGAGAGUGUUCUGUCUCACCUCUGAGCCUUUCACUUCUGCCUUUUCUUGAUCAUUCUGGGAUUGGUAAUCCCGAGCAUUUUCAGAUACAUGUGGAGUCUGAAAGAUGGCUACUAUCCCAUCAGAUGUUUCUUCAAAUCUGCGGACCAGCCUUCCCAAGUCAAAAUCACCAUAUAACUGGCAACAGCACUAUUAAAAAAUGGAUCCAAGCUUGGCUUCAUUUUGAGCAUGACUCAAGCAAUGGUUUGACUACAAACAAACCUCUCAAAUGCAGCUUUAUGCUUGUGUCUGCUGGAUUUUGUCCAUGCCGUUUUCUGAAGCAAUACAGAAGGAAGCACCUCAGUCUGGUGCCUUGAAGAAUUAGGUUUUCAGGAGGUGGAUUUGUACAUUGUGCCAGGAGAGGAGUUCUGUCAAAAUUCUUUCAUGGCGUAUGUUUUAAUCUGUAUAUGGGGUUUCUUUGUACUCCUGCUGAUAAUGGUUAAUUUUGUUGCCAAAUUCAAAUAUAUUCUCUGUGGUGUGGCCAGUCUGUUUUAUGGCCCACUGUAUUCCUCUUGGUUUUUCAGCAAUUGUGUAAUUGUGGUAAAUGAUUUCCACAAGGAGAAAAUUUGCACAGUUAUAUAGCAUUAAAGUUCAGUUUAAAUUGGGUGACGUUGCAUAUAUGGAAAGCAGCUAUUUGCAUUCUUAUAAUCAAUAUACUAAACUCUAAACAUUCUAGAAAUUAAUAGUCUUCAAAACAUUUCCUAGAAAAGUACUUGAAUGUUGCUCUUGAUGUUGAUAAGGCUCAUGUGGCAUCAUAAACAAUUACCAUGAGCUUGGAGCCUCCUGCUUGAGGAACCUGAUUCUGCAGAGCAAUCUUUUAGUGAGGGGCACC
ensembl:lncRNA